AUGCACGCUGGCGGCGUGCCUAAUACAUGCAAGUCGAGCGAACAGACGAGGAGCUUGCUCCUCUGACGUUAGCGGCGGACGGGUGAGUAACACGUGGAUAACCUACCUAUAAGACUGGGAUAACUUCGGGAAACCGGAGCUAAUACCGGAUAACAUGUUGAACCGCAUGGUUCAACAGUGAAAGACGGUCUUGCUGUCACUUAUAGAUGGAUCCGCGCCGCAUUAGCUAGUUGGGAAGGUAACGGCUUACCAAGGCAACGAUGCGUAGCCGACCUGAGAGGGUGAUCGGCCACACUGUAACUGAGACACGGUCCAGACUCCGACGGGAGGCAGCAGUAGGGAAUCUUCCGCAAUGGGCGAAAGCCUGACGGAGCAACGCCGCGUGAGUGAAGAAGGUCUUCGGAUCGUAAAACUCUGUUAUUAGGGAAGAACAAAUGUGUAAGUAACUAUGCACGUCUUGACGGUACCUAAUCAGAAAGCCACGGCUAACUACGUG
rnacentral:rRNA from 1 species